AAAUUCUCUCUCUUCUCUCAAAUCCCUCUUCUGAAACCUUAUAUUUUAUUCGUCUACUCAUUGUAUCUGUUCUAUUCGCUAGGGUUUCGAUUUCUUUCACAGAGAACACAAAUCAACGCUGGAGCGGUAGAGUUUUACGGAUCGAGAAUUGUUGCUAGACAAGCUUCCAAUCGGUUAAAACUCUGGUUUGUUCGAUUUGAACCAUCUCGUUCUUCAUCGUCUUUUCAUGGUGGUGUUGAUGUUCAAUGAAUCAAUUUCGUUGGUGAUGCAAAUAUGGAUAGUUCAUGAUGUUAUUUGAUCCGGAAGAUAUGGAUUUUUUGUGAAUUAGAGGAGGAUGAGGGUUGAGAUGGUAGCAGCUGUUCGAAGAACGCUUGCAUUAAUCCUGAUGAACAAAAAUGAUUAUGUUGGUGCUUGGAAAAAGUUAAUUGAUGCACGGACUUUGUUUCCAGGACUUGAAUAUAUUGAUGAGAUGAUAAAAGUUUGUGACGUAAUAUGUGCAGCUAAGUCUCAAGGGAGUGAAAUUGAUUGCCAAUGAGCAUAAUGUAUGAGAAAGUUGGAAAUGUUUUGGUGUGGAAAUUGUUUCUGGUGAAAUACCUGCAAAGAAUGUGAAUUCGUGGUGAGCGUUUGACGUUCUAUAUUCAUGAGCUUGAAUGUUAUGCUGACAUUCAUUUAACAAAUUUCAGAAGGUAUCAAACCCUUUCAUUAUGUGCCGAAACUAAUUGAUGUAACUGAGGCCGAUUCCAUAACUGAUGAACGAUAUAAGCAGAUCUUUUGCAUCACCCGUAUCACCAAUAAUACUGCUUCAAUUUACGGAAGGGAGAUUGCAAUAGCUGGUCGGUUCCUUGAUAAGCAGCAGGAUUUUGACUGGAGUAAAACUCAGUUCUUUAUUGUAAUUGGGAAGAGAAGUCACCGUGUUUUGUGCCUUGGAAAGUGGGUGUUUUCUACUACAGCAAUGUUUCUUGUACCUGGAACAGUAUUUUUUUAUUUGAGUCUUCACGGCAGGACCCCCCGUUAGCCAGAUCCUGAAAUUUGACUAUCUCUCAACUCCAACAAAUCUGGAACUGUUCUCUACAGUUGUGGGGUUUCGCCAACAACUAUGUCUUGCUUACCUGCUCCAGUCGGAAACUAAAAAUUUGAUUGAUCAGCCGAUGCCCGAGCCACGAAGGAGUUAGUUCCUUAUAAAUAGAUGUUGAUUAGAAACUCCACCUCAUCAUCAAUAUCUUCUCUGUUUCAGAUAAUAAGGAGCUCAUUUCUCUUGCACAUACUGGGAUAUUAAACUUCUGACGAAGUAAUAAUAUCAUGGCUCGAUCUAUGGUGCAACUUGUUAGUGAUCAGUUAUGACAUUAUUGAUGAUGGGGCAAUUGGAUGUUACUAGCACAAUGCAAAAUGAGCUUUGGGUCAAAGCCAAAUGGAUUCUGUUGGGAGUGGUCGCAGUAUGGUUGACCCUUGGAGCAGCCAGAGCUCUCAAGUAAGUAGUGUUAAAGAUAAUUAUUAAUUUGUGAUUUGAGUUUCCAUAAAAUUGCAGAACUCAUAAUGGGUUAGUAAGAAUUCUGUUCUGCAACUUUUUUUCAAGAAAUUGCACAUAUGUAAAAAACAAACUUCGAGUAUUGCGGUCACACAAUUCGGUUCUGCAACUUUUUUUCAAGUAGUCGUGUUUGGAGUGAAUGACCCUCUAUUGCUAACAGUGAAA